rnacentral:rRNA from 1 species
GACGGAAGGUGCAAGCGUUGCUCGGAAUCACUGGGCGUAAAGGGUGCGUAGGCGGCUGUGCAAGUCUGGCGUGAAAGCCCCGGGCUCAGCCCGGGAAGUGCGCUCGAAACUGCACGGCUCGAGUGCCGGAGGGGAGAGUGGAAUUCCUGGUGUAGCGGUGAAAUGCGUAGAUAUCGGGAGGAACACCAGUGGCGAAGGCGGCGAUCUGGGAAGAUACUGACGCUGAGGUGCGAAAGCGUGGGGAGCAAACAGG